AAUUAUUCAUUGAAACAGGUUUCUCUGAUUUGGGAGACUCGUAGGCGAUGUUAACGAAGCCCGAAAAGAAGCUUGACUCUUUAGAGGUAUACGAGGCUACUUUUGAUAAUGAAUUGGGAAAAGACAAAAAAACCACGGAAUAUUAAAGUCAGUUUAAGUGAGGGUAAAAUCGUAAAAACCUUGUAGAAAGAAGUACCUAAAUCAAUAACGCAUAUGAGAUAUGCCUAUUUCAACAAAAGCAUAGACUUUAAUGUGUCGAUCCCAUAAUUGAUCCUUUUUUUGUCAUGCUAAUCUUCUUAGUAUAAUUGAU
rnacentral:sRNA from 1 species